rnacentral:rRNA from 1 species
UACGGGGGGGGCAAGCGUUGUUCGGAAUUACUGGGCGUAAAGGGCUCGUAGGCGGCCAACUAAGUCGGACGUGAAAUCCCCAGGCUCAACCUGGGAACUGCGUCCGAUACUGGAUGGCUUGAAUCCGGGAGAGGGAUGCAGAAUUCCAGGUGUAGCGGUGAAAUGCGUAGAUAUCUGGAGGAAUACCGGUGGCGAAGGCGGCGAUCUGGGUAGAUACUGACGCUGAGGAGCGAAAGCGUGGGGAGCGAACAGG